UGCAAGUCGAGCGAACAGAUGAGAAGCUUGCUUCUCUGAUGUUAGCGGCGGACGGGUGAGUAACACGUGGGUAACCUACCUAUAAGACUGGGAUAACUCCGGGAAACCGGGGCUAAUACCUGAUAAUAUUUUGAACCGCAUGGUUCGAUAGUGAAAGGCGGCUUCGGCUGUCACUUAUAGAUGGACCCGCGCCGUAUUAGCUAGUUGGUAAGGUAAUGGCUUACCAAGGCGACGAUACGUAGCCGACCUGAGAGGGUGAUCGGCCACACUGGAACUGAGACACGGUCCAGACUCCUACGGGAGGCAGCAGUAGGGAAUCUUCCGCAAUGGGCGAAAGCCUGACGGAGCAACGCCGCGUGAGUGAUGAAGGUUUUCGGAUCGUAAAACUCUGUUGUUAGGGAAGAACAAAUUUGUUAGUAACUGAACAAGUCUUGACGGUACCUAACCAGAAAGCCACGGCUAACUACGUGCCAGCAGCCGCGGUAAUACGUAGGUGGCAAGCGUUAUCCGGAAUUAUUGGGCGUAAAGCGCGCGUAGGCGGUUUCUUAAGUCUGAUGUGAAAGCCCACGGCUCAACCGUGGAGGGUCAUUGGAAACUGGGGAACUUGAGUGCAGAAGAGGAGAGUGGAAUUCCAUGUGUAGCGGUGAAAUGCGCAGAGAUAUGGAGGAACACCAGUGGCGAAGGCGGCUCUCUGGUCUGUAACUGACGCUGAUGUGCGAAAGCGUGGGGAUCAAACAGGAUUAGAUACCCUGGUAGUCCACGCCGUAACGAUGAGUGCUAAGUGUUA
rnacentral:rRNA from 2 species